GAUACGGGGUGUGAGAGCACUAGCCCGGAGAUGGAUUCUGAGACACGAAUCCAGGCCCUACGGGGUGCAGCAGGCGCGAAACUUCCGCAAUGCUCGCCAGAGUGACGGAGGGAUUCCAAGUGCCUAUGCUAUGCGUAGGCUGUUUUCAUGUCUAAAUAACAUGGAGAGUAAGAGCUGGGUAAGACGGGUGCCAGCCGCCGCGGUAAUACCUGCAGCUCGAGUGGUAACCGCUAUUAUUGGGCCUAAAGCGUCCGUA
rnacentral:rRNA from 1 species